rnacentral:rRNA from 1 species
GCAGGAUACCCGUACCGUAAACCGACACAGGUGGAUGAGGAGAGAAUCCUAAGGCCGACGGGAGAAGCAUUGUUAAGGAACUCGGCAAAAUGACUCCGUAACUUCGGGAGAAGGAGUGCCAGUAAGAUGGCCGCAGAGAAUUGGCCCAAGCAACUGUUUAGCAAAAACACAGGUCUAUGCAAAACCGAAAGGUGAGGUAUAUGGGCUGACGCCUGCCCGGUGCUGGAAGGUUAAGGGGAGAGGUUAGCGCAAGCGAAGCUUUGAACUUAAGCCCCAGUAAACGGCGGCCGUAACGAUAACGGUCCUAAGGUAGCGAAAUUCCUUGUCGGGUAAGUUCCGACCCGCACGAAAGGCGUAAUGAUUUGGGCACUGUCUCAACAAUGCACCCGGUGAAAUUGAAAUACCAGUGAAGAUGCUGGUUACCUGCGCCAGGACGGAAAGACCCCAUGGAGCUUUACUCCAGCUUGAUACUGGGAUUCGGUAUUGCAUGUACAGGAUAGGUGGGAGGCUAGGAAAUGGUAACGCCAGUUGCCAUGGAGCCAAUGUUGGGAUACCACCCUUGCAGUACUGGGUUUCUAACCAGCAGCCGUGAUCCGGCUGGGGGACAAUGUCAGGUGGGGAGUUUGACUGGGGCGGUCGCCUCCGAAAGGGUAUCGGAGGCGCUCAAAGGUUCCCUCAGAAUGGUUGGAAACUAUUCGAAGAGUGCAAAGGCAGAAGGGAGCUUGACUGCGACACCGACGGGUGGAGCAGGUACGAAAGUAGGACUUAGUGAUCCGGUGGUAUAAAGUGGGAUUGCCAUCGCUCAACGGAUAAAAGCUACCCUGGGAUAACAGGCUUAUCACUCCCAAGAGUUCACAUCGACGGAGUGGUUUGGCACCUCGAUGUCGGCUCAUCGCAUCCUGGGGCUGAAGUAGGUCCCAAGGGUUGGGCUGUUCGCCCAUUAAAGCGGUACGCGAGCUGGGUUCAGAACAUCGUGAGACAGUUCGGUCCCUAUCCGGCGUGGGCGUAAGAUAUUUGAGAGGAGCUGUCCUUGGUACGAGAGGACCGGGAUGGACUGGCCGCUGGUGUAUCUGUUGUCUUACCAAAGGCUUAGCAGAGUAGCCAAGCCGGGAAGGGAUAAACGCUGAAGGCAUCUAAGCGUGAAGCCCCCCUCAAGAUGAGAUAUCUCAUAACGUCAAGUUAGUAAGACCCCUUGAAGACGACGAGGUAGAUAGGGCAGAGGUGGAAGUGUGGUAACACAUGGAGCUGACUGUUACUAAUAGGUCGAGGGCAUAACCU